rnacentral:rRNA from 1 species
UAACCGCAUAAGAUUGUAGUACCGCAUGGUACAGCAAUUAAAGGAGUAAUCCGCUAUGAGAUGGACCCGCGUCGCAUUAGCUAGUUGGUGAGGUAACGGCUCACCAAGGCGACGAUGCGUAGCCGACCUGAGAGGGUGAUCGGCCACAUUGGGACUGAGACACGGCCCAGACUCCUACGGGAGGCAGCAGUGGGGAAUAUUGCACAAUGGGGGAAACCCUGAUGCAGCAACGCCGCGUGAGUGAUGACGGCCUUCGGGUUGUAAAACUCUGUCUUUGGGGACGAUAAUGACGGUACCCAAGGAGGAAGCCACGGCUAACUACGUGCCAGCAGCCGCGGUAAUACGUAGGUGGCAAGCGUUGUCCGGAUUUACUGGGCGUUAAGGGAGCGUAGGUGGAUAUUUAAGUGGGAUGUGAAAUACUCGGGCUUAACCUGGGUGCUGCAUUCCAAAACUGGAUAUCUAAA